GGAGGAGUAUCGAAGUGGUUAUAACGAGAACGACUCGAAAUCGUUUGACCUCGAAAGGGGUCCGUGGGUUCGAAUCCCACCUCCUCCG
rnacentral:tRNA from 1 species